GAAACUGCAACGAUCUGAUUCCAGCAUGCAUGAAUGAAAUGAAAUGCUAAAGAAAUUUGUUUAGACUGAAAUGAAAUGACACCAGAUUAAAAGCUCAUCUCCUAGAGGAAAAAAACAGCAAUGGAAUGCCUAUCUCUAAGAAGAAUUCUUCUUGGUCCCAUCUGAGGAAUACAAGUUUGAAAAGCUAUACUCCUUGGGUUCCCUGAGCCCUGAUAUGAGGGAUUUGAUGACGACAUCACAUUUAGGGCAGAGGCAAGGGAAUCUUCAUGAGUUUGAGACAAGCUUGAUCUGCAGAGUGAAACCCAAGACAGCCAUGGCUAUACAACACUGUAAAAUACUGCCUCAGAGAACCAAUAAAAAAGGGAAGAAGAAGCAAUUUCCAGUAGGAGCUUCCUAAAAUACAUACAUACAUGAAGGUGAUCUAAAUGAAAUCACCAAAUACUGGGGAGUGGGACAGAACUCCAACUGGUAAUCCAGGACUGGCUUACUUCUAAUUGAGUUGGCAAAACUGGUCACAUUGGAAUCCCCAAACAACCCAGCCUGUUUCCAAGACUACUGGUUACUUAAAAAACAUACUGACAAGACCCUACUGCUGAAGACAAUACCUACACAAAUCAUUGAACACUGAGAAGUUGAUGUAGUGUCUAUGUAGAGCCUUUACUCCUACAUUCUAACAUCUUUAGUACAAGAAAGGCUCUUUGCAUGAUACCAAAAGAGAAAUAUAAACACCAACCAAGCCACAACCCCUCUGAUUGGCAAUGGUGUCCUGCUUGCAAGGUAUGCUAGUGCAACAAUGAUACCAAAUUUGUGGGAAGUAACCAGUUAAUAUUUGAUUUGACUUAAGGCUCCCUCCACAAGAUAGAACCCAUAGUCGAUACUGACUGGGUGACCAAGACCCUGAGACUAGAUGGACCCAGUGAAAACCAAAUUCUAUUGUUCUAAGAAGAAGGAAAAGCAGCAAUAAAAUGACCCCUAAUGGCAUUCUUCUAUGCUCAUAGAUCAGUGCCUCUUUCAGAAAUCACCCAACAAGUUUCUUCCUGUAGCAGAUAGGAACAAAUGCAGAGAUCCUCAGCCACUUCUCAGACCAGUAAUUAGAAUUCUACUGGUGACAUUUGGGCUUGUAAGUUGCUGGUUAUGUAUGAGGGACAGUCUGGCACAAACAUCCUCUAACCCUGGUAGCAUCUAACUAGCUAAAAGACCAUGUGCCUAGAUAUUUACUUCCUAACAGGACAACAGCUAUUGGUUAUCUCUAAAUAAAUAUGAAGAGCUGGGCACAUUCAUAGUAUCAACUUCCUCACCACUUUUGCAACAUCUUUGACAUCUAUUUCUAGACUAUCUUAUUAUGUGUCAAUCAUUACUCUAAUAUGAUGCAAUUAUGAGUCAAAAGAUUCUCCAGUCCUUUCAUUAUAUUACAUAUCUGUUUUUCUUUUUAAAAUAUUAACUCACUGCUGAGUUAUUUAGAAUGAAUUGGGUUGUUUUAAGACAAAUUUUCAUUCCAUAUCUGUGACAGGUCUCAGUCUCUAGGUCUUCCUGAAGCAGCCUCCCAAGUAGCUGGGACGAGAGAACCACAUCUGGCUUUAGAAUUACACUUUUUAAAACAAUAUUUGCAAUGCAUUAUUUGAAGUUUCCAUUCAUUUAUUUAAUGUGCUUUUAUCACAGUCAUCCACCAUUAUCCCCCAACUCUUCAUAGUGCCUCAUGCUAUAUCUCUUCUUUUUUUUUCCUUUUUUCAUUUGCCCUCUUUUGCUAAUGAUCAUUAAAACCACUGGAUUCCAAUUAGUACUGCCCCUAAGCACAUGGGAGUGAGAUCAUACAUUGGAUCAUGGUCAACAACCAAGAUCUCAGGUGGGAGUGACCCAUUUCUCCCUUAUCAACUAUAAACUACUAGUAGCUCUUCUACCAGUGGUAGACCUUGGGAUCCCAUCCACCAUUCACACUAGAAUUUUGAACUUGAUCUUGCACAGGUUACUGUACCUGCAAUGACUUGAUACAUGAAGCAGCCAUGUCGUGUCCAGAAGUUAGCAUUUCAUGGCUCUCCUUCUAUUUGCCAGUUCUUUUAUUCAUUUAAAGGCUUUCAGAGGAAUUCAGGACCAACACAUUUUUUGACACUUUGUAUCUUCAGAAUGCCUCUAGUGUCCAUCAUGUCUGAGUACAUUGCAUAGUCUCAUGGGAGAGAAGUGUCUCUAUGCCAUUUCCCCUCAAAUCUCUGUAGACAGUGGCACACUCUCUGAAUCUAAGAAGGGAACCCAUGAUAGACUGACUGUAGCCAUGUCUUCAUCUUCCUGUAUCUUUUAAUUUUUUUAACCAAAUGUCAUAAAAAUUUUUUAAAUCUCUUCAGGUUGUUAUUGGGACGCUAAACAAAGCCCUUAACCUCUGAAGAUUCUGCUAUCCCUUUAUAAAAACAAGUUGUCUUCAGUAAUUCACUCUUUAUGUUUGCAUACCAAAAAAAUCUUGUCUGUA